rnacentral:rRNA from 1 species
UGCGUAGGUGGGUAUGUAAGUCAGUGGUGAAAUCCCCGAGCUUAACUUGGGAACUGCCGUUGAUACUAUAUAUCUUGAAUGUCGUAGAGGUAAGCGGAAUAUGUCAUGUAGCGGUGAAAUGCUUAGAGAUGACAUAGAACACCAAUUGCGAAGGCAGCUUACUAUGCGAAUAUUGACACUGAGGCACGAAAGCGUGGGUAGCAAACAGGAUUAGAUACCCUGGUAGUCCACGCCCUAAACUAUGGAUACUCGACAUACGCGAUACACUGUGUGUGUCUGAGCGAAAGCAUUAAGUAUCCCACCUGGGAAGUACGACCGCAAGGUUGAA